rnacentral:rRNA from 1 species
UACGGAGGGUGCAAGCGUUAUCCGGAUUCACUGGGUUUAAAGGGUGCGUAGGUGGGCAGGUAAGUCAGUGGUGAAAUCUCCGGGCUUAACUCGGAAACUGCCAUUGAUACUAUCUUUCUUGAAUACCGUGGAGGUCAGCGGAAUAUGUCAUGUGGCGGUGAAAUGCUUAGAUAUGACAUAGAACACCAAUUGCGAAGGCAGCUGGCUACACGAAUAUUGACACUGAUGCACGAAAGCGUGGGGAUCAAACAGG